AGAGCGAUUCCUGCCACCCAUGCUUGGAGCUACACAUUGCCAUACCUUCCUUGCCACAACAGGCAGAAAUAUCUCCCGAACUAUAUACAUCCAUGUUUCCCCCUGAUACCGACAAAGGCUUCAGGGAAAGCAAGCCUGCCCUCACAUCCAGGAUGCAUCUGAUUUAUUUCUUUUCUCCUUGGCGGUAAUUGGUGUAACAACCCAGGACCACAACAGCCAAUGAUUCCUAGACAAAUUGUUGAAGUGCAGCUAAAGAAGACCGGAGGAUAUGUUGGCCAGGGACUUUGGGAAAGAUAAAGUUGUGGGAAAAAAUGCUCUUUCUUGACCAAGGUCAUCGUUGUAGCAGAAUCUUUUUUACUGUUUACUCAAGAAUGGAGCAACAAUGGGAAGAAGAAAAAAUAAAAUCAUAUAGAAACAG
rnacentral:lncRNA from 1 species